GUAAACGGUCGUAACGUUGUCAUUUUGACUGCAGCUGAGUUUCCUGUAACCUCCGACAGCAAAAGACGGGGGAAGAUGAUCUGAGCACUGCCCCCUGCCGGAGAGGAUGUACAACUACGCCGCUGAGACUCGGAGCACCAAAGUCUCAAGCCAGGUCCUGAUGAUGAAGCACAACCUCAUCUCUGAGGCUCUGGUCAGUCGUCAGAUGUGAGGUGAAGUUUUCCAUCCUCCUCCGCUGUUCCCAGUUGCACCAGCAGGUGGCAGGGUUGCUUCAGGGAAGGAGAAACGGGGAGGAACCCUGGCCUGAGCAUCUGUGAGAGGACAACUUUCCAUGACAUAAAGGUCAGAGACCAAGUAUGAGCCGUGGAUCACCGCUGACAGCCGGAGCUGCUCUGCUGUUUGCUGCUCUGACAUGGCAGAAAUAUGUCUUCUCAGAACGACGAGUCAUGGAAAAGUCUGCCGGUUCCUCGUCCUGCUCCUCUCUCUCUCUCUCUCUCUCUCUCUCUCUCUCUCUCUCUCUCUCUCUCUGUAAAGCAGCUGAGUCAUGGUCUGAGGUAAAUGAGUCAGAGCUGAAAGUCCUUACAACAUCUUACUGUAGUUUCCGUCGUCUCGUGGCUCAGAUCCUGUGAGAAGAAACACUUAAAGUACUGAUCACACAGAGUUACGUAAACACGUUUGUCCGACUAAAAUGGAGCUCGUCUUAGUCGGACUAACAUACCUGGAUCAUGUGAUUCAUAGUCUGAUUAAUCCUGCAUGUUAACACUUAGUCUGACUUGUCCAAAAUGUCCUCCCUGCUCUUUGACCCUGAGUUAUAAACUGCAGGACUGUUGGUGGACAUCAUACGACCAUGGCGGCGUCUUUCUUCAGACAACGUGACGACCACAAGAGACAUGUCCAUCUGAUUUGUCUCAC